rnacentral:rRNA from 1 species
UACGUAGGUGGCAAGCGUUGUCCGGAAUUAUUGGGCGUAAGCGCGCGCAGGCGGUCCUUUAAGUCUGAUGUGAAAGCCCACGGCUCAACCGUGGAGGGUCAUUGGAAACUGGGGGACUUGAGUGCAGAAGAGGAAAGCGGAAUUCCACGUGUAGCGGUGAAAUGCGUAGAGAUGUGGAGGAACACCAGUGGCGAAGGCGGCUUUCUGGUCUGUAACUGACGCUGAGGCGCGAAAAGCGUGGGGGAGCAAACAGG